rnacentral:rRNA from 1 species
GACGAACGCUGGCGGCGUGCUUAACACAUGCAAGUCGAACGGUGAAAGCGGAGCUUACUCCGCUGGAUCAGUGGCGAACGGGUGAGUAACACGUGGGCAACCUGCCCCUGACUUCGGGAUAACUCCUCGAAAGAGGUGCUAAUACCGGAUACGAAUCCUGCAGGCAUCUGCGGGAGUGGAAAGUUUUUCGGUCAGGGAUGGGCCCGCGGCCUAUCAGCUUGUUGAUGAGGUAGUGGCUCACCAAGGCGACGACGGGUGGCCGGCCUGAGAGGGCGACCGGCCACACUGGGACUGAGACACGGCCCAGACUCCUACGGGGGGCAGCAGUGGGGAAUAUUGCGCAAGGGGCGAAAGCCUGACGCAGCAACGCCGCGUGAGGGAUGACGGCCUUCGGGUUGUAAACCUCUUUCAGCAGGGAAGAAGCGAAAGUGACGGUACCUGCAGAAGAAGCACCGGCUAACUACGUGCCAGCAGCCGCCGUAA